CCUUCCUCCCCAUGUAUGGAGCCACUCGAGACUAAAUAUAGCGUUUGCACCCAAAAGUCUUCUCCCUCUCUCAUUCUGCACUCCGGCCACGGACAGUGUGCAUCCUCACCCGCAAAUGUGUGCAAAAGUGUUUCUGAGAGAUAACCACGUGUGGUGUUGACUUGUCUUCCCUCGUCUGGCAGGACGACGUCCCACUACUGUACGUCACUUCAGACCCAUCUCGCUGUCGGAUGUCAACAAUAUUCCUUCAGGCAACAACAAAGACAUGAUUUGAGAUAAUGCUCUGGCAGAUCCCAACAGCGAAAACCUUGCGAGACCUUUUUAGGUUUCCUGAGUCGGCCUGUCCUCCUUGGCUCCUUGUGGGCAGCAGUCGGGUUUAUUUUUAAUCUGCGUCUCCUCCGUUACAAGUGAUACCCCCCCCCCCCCCCCACUCCGAAUUCUUACUGUACAAGAGCGGCUGCUGCUAUUUACAUCUAGUCUAAGUCUAUUUAAAAAAAAUAAUAAUAACUAAAACAACUUGUAUAAGUGAAAAGACACAGGAGGCCUUGAGUUGGUUGCCAAGACGACCUGCAGCUGUUGUUCCCACGUGGCUUCACUUGAAAAGGUCGCCUCCAUUCUUUUCUUUAUGUGUAGAGGACACUGCUCUGAUGAACAUAUGUUCAUUAUUAAAAUACAUAUACACACAAUAUCACGUGUUCUUCUUACAGCCCCCAAAGUCCAGGAUUUAGAGAUUUCAGAUUUCUUUUGGGGGGCGACUCCCAGUGGAAGUAUGAAGUGAGACACUGUGACACCGGCACCCUCAACUGGGGACAGGCCAGGAGGCCGAGGGACGACACAGGAGGUCACAUUUAACAAACCUAAAAAUCUAUUUACAUUUUCUUCGGACCACAGAAGCAGUUUGGGAAGAUUGAGGACGGAGUCAAGAGACCAAAUACAGAAAUACAUAAAAGUGGGCGGUUCAGUAUGUGACGACCGGACGGGAACUUACUGCAAAAGUGCCAAUCAACCGACAGAAGAAGUGGCUCCUCCUACAGAGAGAACAAAAUCAAUUGUUUAAAAUCAAUUCUUCCAUACAAGCAGUGUACAAUAAAGACAUGACAUGAACAAAAGA